CUACAAUACUCAUCGAGCACAUUAUCCCGAGGUUCGGAUUGCCUGGACCCUCCAGUCAGACAACGGACCUGCCUUCAUCUCCAGUGUAACCCAACAGGUUGCUGAGAGCCUCAACAUAACCUGGAAACUUCACAUCCCAUACCACCCACAGUCAUCGGAUAAGCCCCGUGUAGGGAAAGAGUGUGGA